rnacentral:rRNA from 1 species
UAAGGAAUCUUCCACAAUGGGCGAAAGCCUGAUGGAGCAACGCCGCGUGCAGGAUGAAGGCCCUCGGGUCGUAAACUGCUUUUAUGAGUGAAGAAUAUGACGGUAACUCAUGAAUAAGCACCGGCUAACUACGUGCCAGCAGCCGCGGUCAUACGUAGGGUGCAAGCAUUAUCCGGAGUGACUGGGCGUAAAGAGUUGCGUAGGUGGUCUGUAAAGCGAAUAGUGAAAUCUGGGGGCUCAACCUCACAGACUAUUAUUCGAACUCACAGACUCGAGAAUGGUAGAGGUAACUGGAAUUUCUUGUGUAGGAGUGAAAUCCGUAGAUAUAAGAAGGAACACCAAUGGCGUAGGCAGGUUACUGGACCAUUUCUGACACUGAGGCACGAAAGCGUGGGGAGCGAACCGGAUUAGAUACCCCCGUAGUCC